UUUAAAUGUAAUUUUAUAGACUGAAUUAUUAAUAGUUAUGUCCUUAAAAAUUAAAUAAUUUGGCGGUAUUUUAGUCUUUUCAGAGGAACCUGUUCUUUAAUUGAUAAUCCACAGUUUAAAAACCUUAAGUUAGAAAUUUACAUAUCAUCGUUAUUAAAUAUUUUUAUAGAAUUUAAUAUUUUAAUUAUUAUAUUUAAUUUUAAUUCAGAUCAUGGUGUAGUUUAUAUUUAAGUAGAAAUGGGUUACAAUUUGUUAAAAUUUGAUUAUUAGGUUAAAAUUUCUAUGAAAAUGGAUUUGAAAGUAAUUAAUUUUAUUUUUUAUUGAUGAUUAAGCUCUAAAAUAUGU
rnacentral:rRNA from 1 species